UGACUGGGGACGAGCUGACUUUGGGUGCCUGAGUAACUCUAGGGAAAAUAACGCCAGGACUGGCCAAAGUCCAAGACUUGAAUGCACAGCAUGCCACAGAUCAUCAGUGCUGCUGGUCAAGGAGUCAGGACCUCACAGUGAAGCCAGUGGUGCACAUCAGGAGUAGGUGUUGCUGUAAGUCUGCCUAUAGGUGAGAAUGCAAAUUUUCAGGCAGUUGAUUCAGAAAUCACAAUUUUAAAAGACUCUAAUUUCUGUCUGGUUUUACCUUCAGUAUGAGUGAGGAGAUUUUGACUUUUGGCACUGAAUUGUCGUGAAGGUGUUUGGUUAUCCUGUAUGCCAUGGUCUGAAC
rnacentral:lncRNA from 1 species